GGUGAAGAUAGAGGUGCGAACUUCAAGAGUAUGCCUUUGGAGAAAGAUGGAUUCUGUGAAAAAGGCUGAAAGGGGAGCGUCGCCGAAGCAAAUAAAACCCCAUCGGUAUUAUUUGCUGGCCGUGCAUUGAAUAAAUGUAAGGCUGUCAAGAAAUCAUUUUCUUGGAGGGCUAUCUCGUUG
rnacentral:ncRNA from 10 species